rnacentral:lncRNA from 1 species
CAAAGCUCAUUCCAUGUGUCAUUUCGUCUGAUGCUGAGAACAACUCCAUGAAAGCUCUUAGUAUCUUCAUUUUACGACUGGGGAAAAUAGAGAGUAGGUGAGUUUCCCUGGGUUACAUGGCUAGUAAUUUCUGAGGCAGGAGGAUUCCAAGUCCGGGCUCUGUCUCCUAGCUGCCUCCAAGAACAGCAAUGAUAACCUAAAAAUUAAACUUUGCAUUUGAAGUGCCCUGAAUUGUAGAGAGUGGCAGUCAGGUUAUCCCUGCUUCUCCCAAAUAAAACUAAAAAUUCACUUUAUAAAGGAUUGAUCCUUUCUUCUCCUGACAAUUACUCAAUACCUAGGUUUAUUUUAAAAUGUUUUCUUUUACUACAGAAAAGAAAAAACAAGCAAUUACUGUAAAGAACACACUUCAACAAUUGACUGUACCACAAAAUGGGCUGAUCCGGUCCAUUCCAUCUGUUCUUUCUGGUGGAGGGAUUCAUAAGCAGGAGAAUGACCAAGAGCCUAGAGGAAGAAGAAAUAAACUCCACAUCACAUAAUGAGUACCCAAGGAACCAAGAAUCGACAUCAAUGAAGUAAUGAGUCUUCAGGUAGUGACCAAAGUGAAGGCAGAAGAGGAAGGAAGAAGGAAGAAUUGCCUUGAUAGGGGCAGUCUUCCUGACUGAGAAAGAAUUUGGGAUAAAUGUCAAUACUGGUCGUGACCUCCAGGGACUGCCUCUAUGCAUAGGAGCUAUAGGAAGGAAAUCUCUGUAAAUUGGUAGAUUAACUCCUGCUCCUGCCAUGACGGUGGGGAUCCAUUUUCCACUCUAUUCUGGAAGAGAGAAAAAGGAAUCUAGGGAGAAUGUGUGGGGAUUUAAACCCUUUCUGUCCUGUUUCCCAUUUUAUCAGGGGUUCCCUAAGCUCUUCCCGUUCCCUUUCCCUGGAAUGAACCUGUGUUGAUUCUGCAUGAAAUGGCUGUUCUACAGGAGUACUAUCCAUGGUUUUGGGUAGCUCCACCUGUUUCCUUUUGCUGGGUGGGAGGUAAGAAGAGGUCCUCAUGUUUCAGACUUUGCUGUGCAAGACAAAGAUAAAGAGACAUAGGCUUCGAUAAUGUAUCAAUUACCUAUGAUAAUAAAAGUACACUUUUAGUCUUGAAUUCCCUUUUU